UGGAGGCAGCAGUGGGGAAUAUUGCACAAUGGGCGAAAGCCUGAUGCAGCAACGCCGCGUGAGCGAUGAAGGCCUUUGGGUCGUAAAGCUCUGUCCUUGGGGAAGAAAAAAAUGACGGUACCCUUGGAGGAAGCCCCGGCUAACUACGUGCCAGCAGCCGCGGUAAUACGUAGGGGGCAAGCGUUAUCCGGAAUUAUUGGGCGUAAAGGGUGCGUAGGUGGUUUUGUAAGCGCGAGGUGAAAGGCAAUAGCUCAACUAUUGUAAGCCUUGCGAACUGUAAGACUUGAGUGCAGGAGAGGAAAGCGGAAUUCCUAGUGUAGCGGUGAAAUGCGUAGAUAUUAGGAGGAACACCAGUGGCGAAGGCGGCUUUCUGGACUGUAACUGACACUGAGGCACGAAAGCGUGGGGAGCAAACAGGAUUAGAUACCCCGGUAGG
rnacentral:rRNA from 1 species